AGGGCCUGCCUCAGCUGUUUGUGGUCCGGCCGAGAGGGCUGUGACCGUCCCUAACACGAGCGCGCCGUGUAAUUUUCGUACGACUUCUCGCGGGGAAGCCAGUGUCGCAGACCCCACCCCGAGAUAGCCUGAGGUUCCAAAUCAUCACCCUUCGUAAGCUAAAGGAAGAACUCCUAGAAGGGAGUUCAAGCUCUUCAAAGGAAAAACAUUCAAGCUCUACUCGAUUUGAGUACAGUGGAAAAAGUCAAGAUCUAGUGAAGUAGUACAUUGUGUAAUGAUGAGAAGCAAACGAAAAAGGUAUGAACUAAGAAUACUCUGUGAGGCCUAAUGACCAAACAAAUCAAGUUCCUCUCAAACAAGAGCAGUGGCAAAACCAAGGAUUUGAGCAUAAAGGACACUAUAUGUUAGAACCAACCUUGAGAAUAGGAAACCCAGAACACAGAAGAGAGACCACUGAAAAUUUCAUGCUGUUUCACCUUUUCACUGUCUUUACUGUAAACACGUGUCGUAGUAGGAAUAUUGACAGUUCACGACACAGUAAACACAGCUCCAGUAUAAAUGCUUCAAAGCACGUUCUGGAUCUUGUUUCUUUUUAUGCCCGGUCUAUACCAUAACACAGGACUCGUUUGUUGGCCCAAAGAAAAUACCGUCUGACUCCUUAAUUGCCUGAGGUUCACAGCGGCUCACAUUGUGGGUUCUCAAUAAAACAUUAA